AUACGUAGGGAGCGAGCGUUGUCCGGAAUUACUGGGUGUAAAGGGAGCGUAGGCGGGACGGCAAGUCAGAUGUGAAAUACAUGGGCUCAACCCAUGGGCUGCAUUUGAAACUGCUGUUCUUGAGUGAAGUAGAGGUAAGCGGAAUUCCUGGUGUAGCGGUGAAAUGCGUAGAUAUCAGGAGGAACACCGGUGGCGAAGGCGGCUUACGGGGCUUUUACUGACGCUGAGGCUCGAAAGCGUGGGGAGCAAACAGGAUUAGAUACCCUGGUAGUCCACGCUGUAAACGAUGAUUACUAGGUGUGGGGGGACUGACCCCUUCCGUGCCGCAGUUAACACAAUAAGUAAUCCACCUGGGGAGUACGUUCGCAAGAAUGAAACUUAAAGGAAUUGACGGGG
rnacentral:rRNA from 1 species